UACGUAGGGGGCUAGCGUUGUCCGGAUUUAUUGGGCGUAAAGAGCGUGUAGGCGGCCAUGUAGGUCCGGUGUGAAAACUCGAGGCUUAACCUCGAGAUGUCAUCGGAAACCAUUUGGCUAGAGUCCGGAAGAGGAGAGUGGAAUUCCUGGUGUAGCGGUGAAAUGCGCAGAUAUCAGGAAGAACACCAGUGGCGAAAGCAGCUCUCUGGGACGGUACUGACGCUGAGACGCGAAAGCGUGGGGAGCGAACAGG
rnacentral:rRNA from 1 species